rnacentral:misc_RNA from 1 species
AAAAUUCAGAGAAAUCAUUUAUCUGCAACAUGAAUACAACUUUCUAACCACACUUGAACUAAUAAAACGUAGUGUGGUAAGGUAAACCAGCUAUAAGUUAACCAUUUUCCCACGAAUUAAGAAAGGCCUAUAUUGAAUGAAUUCACAUUAGCAAAUUUACAAACAUAUAUACUUCAGAUCUUAUAAAUAAUAAGGGAAAAAAAAAAGAGGGGCAUAAGGGGCAUAAAAUAACAUCAAUUCAAGAUUCAUCAUCUAACCAGAGAAAAUCGCUGCUACUAUGUGCCACCAACCCGCAACUUCUCUGCGGUGCCCGAAAAAUAUCACCAUCGCGAAAUUCAAACUGCAGAGAAAUAACACAUCCAAUUCAAUUCACCGCCCGGCUAAGGAAAAACCUUAAACGCGAGAGUACCCAGCUCUUGUGGGGCUACCCACAACCGAAAACAACCCCCCAUCUCCCACAUCUUGCUCGUCCAAGUACAAAUCUUCCGUUCCUCUAAUUGCAGCGUGUAAGACAACAAUUGCAAGCCCAAUCAAGAUGGAAACCAAGACGUUCAACCACACGUGCGUGAGAACCAAGGCCACAAUAGUGACAACAGCGAGCACGCCCAGCACCACACGAUCAUCAAUCGUGCGAUGGAAAAUGACAAGCGGCUCGUCCCGGAAAAAGUAGAGGAAAAACCAGGCUACGAAGACGAUUAAGAACACAAUCAUGGAUAAUGGGUGCCAUAGAAGGCUGAGGAAGAGAAUUAAGAGAAUGAUCAUCGUAUAAUUCACACGAAAGUAGAAAAGGUUACGCUUUAUGCGUGCGUUGGCUUCACCGAAGGAGUAAGGGCGCGUGAAGGAGGAGAACUGGAUGAGCUCGCGCCAUGGGCGGCGCGUAGCGAAGAAAGAGGUAGAGGCGGCGUUGGUGGCGCGUGAGAAGAAGGUGGAAGGGGUGGUUCUCGAGGGUAGGGAACCGAAGGGGGAGCGAGAAGGUGCAGACAUUAGAGAUGAGAAAGGGAAACCCUAGGAGAGAGAACUGAAGGAAGAAUUGCUAUAGUUUCACAGUGAGAGGCAGCUUAAAGCAGCCUAACUGAUCGUUUCUUUGGGGAUAGUCGAAGAGAAG